GGCUCAGAAUAAUAAAGGACCUA
rnacentral:snRNA from 1 species